GACGGGGGAUGCAAGCGUUAUCCGGAAUGAUUGGGCGUAAAGGGUCCGCAGGUGGCCCGGUCAGUCCGCUGUCAAAGCCUGGGGCUCAACCCUGGAGAGGCGGCGGAGACCACCGGGCUUGAGUCCGGGUAGGGGCAGAGGGAAUUCCCGGUGGAGCGGUGAAAUGCGUAGAGAUCGGUGAGGAACACCAGUGGCGAAGGCGGUCUCUUGGAGCACUCUUGACGCUGAGGCGCGAAAGCUGGGGGAGCGAACAGG
rnacentral:rRNA from 1 species